CCUACGGGUGGCUGCAGUGGGGAAUAUUGCGCAAUGGGGGAAACCCUGACGCAGCAACGCCGCGUGAAGGAUGAAGGUUUUCGGAUCGUAAACUUCUUUGAUGAGGGACGAAUAAUGACGGUACCUCAAAAACAAGCCACGGCUAACUACGUGCCAGCAGCCGCGGUAAUACGUAGGUGGCGAGCGUUGUCCGGAAUUACUGGGUGUAAAGGGCGUGUAGGCGGGGAUACAAGUCAGAUGUGAAAUACCGUGGCUUAACCACGGGGCUGCAUCUGAAACUGUGUCUCUUGAGUGUCGGAGAGGAAAGUGGAAUUCCCAGUGUAGCGGUGAAAUGCGUAGAUAUUGGGAGGAACACCAGUGGCGAAGGCGACUUUCUGGACGAUAACUGACGCUGAGGCGCGAAAGCGUGGGGAGCAAACAGGAUUAGAUACCCUUGUAGUC
rnacentral:rRNA from 1 species